rnacentral:rRNA from 1 species
UACGUAGGGUGCGAGCGUUGUCCGGAAUUAUUGGGCGUAAAGAGCUUGUAGGCGGUUUGUCGCGUCUGCUGUGAAAAUCCGGGGCUCAACCCCGGACUUGCAGUGGGUACGGGCAGAUUAGAGUGUGGUAGGGGAGACUGGAAUUCCUGGUGUAGCGGUGAAAUGCGCAGAUAUCAGGAGGAACACCCGUAGCGAAGGCGGCACUCUGGGCCGAUUCUGACACUGAGGAGCGAAAGCGUGGGGAGCGAACAGG